AGUGAACGCUGGCGGUAGGCCUAACACAUGCAAGUCGAACGGCAGCACAGUAAGAGCUUGCUCUUACGGGUGGCGAGUGGCGGACGGGUGAGGAAUACAUCGGAAUCUACUUUUUCGUGGGGGAUAACGUAGGGAAACUUACGCUAAUACCGCAUACGACCUACGGGUGAAAGCAGGGGAUCUUCGGACCUUGCGCGAUUGAAUGAGCCGAUGUCGGAUUAGCUAGUUGGCGGGGUAAAGGCCCACCAAGGCGACGAUCCGUAGCUGGUCUGAGAGGAUGAUCAGCCACACUGGAACUGAGACACGGUCCAGACUCCUACGGGAGGCAGCAGUGGGGAAUAUUGGACAAUGGGCGCAAGCCUGAUCCAGCCAUACCGCGUGGGUGAAGAAGGCCCUCGGGUUGUAAAGCCCUUUUGUCGGGAAAGAAAAGCAGCAGGUUAAUACCCCGCUGUUCUGACGGUACCCAAAGAAUAAGCACCGGCUAACUUCGUG
rnacentral:rRNA from 1 species